rnacentral:rRNA from 1 species
UGCGUAGGUGGUUUCUUAAGUCAGGAGUGAAAGGCUACGGCUCAACCGUAGUAAGCUCUUGAAACUGGGAAACUUGAGUGCAGGAGAGGAAAGCGGAAUUCCUAGUGUAGCGGUGAAAUGCGUAGAUAUUAGGAGGAACACCAGUGGCGAAGGCGGCUUUCUGGACUGUAACUGACACUGAGGCUCGAAAGCCAGGGGAGCGAAG